rnacentral:rRNA from 1 species
UCCAGCUCCAAUAGCGUAUAUUAAAGUUGUUGCGGUAAAAAAGCUCGUAGUUGGAUUUCUGUUGAAGACGUCCGGUCCAUACCACGUAUGCGCAUCUGGCUCGGCUUCGGCAUCCUCUCGAAAGACGUUUCUGCGCUUGAUUGCGUGGAGCGGAUCUCGGGACUUUUACUUUGAGGAAAUUAGAGUGUUCACGGCAGGCUAUCGCCAGAAUACAUUAGCAUGGAAUAAUACUAUAGGAUCUCAGUUCUAUUUUGUUGGUUUCUAGAAUUGAGAUAAUGAUUAAUAGGGACAAUUGGGGGCAUUCGUAUCAACACGUUAGAGGUGAAAUUCUUGGAUCGUGUUGCGACGAACUACUGCGAAAGCAUUUGCCAAGGAUGUUUUCAUUGAUCAAGAACGAAAGUAAGGGGAUCGAAGACGAUUAGAUACCGUCGUAGUCUUUACCAUAAACUAUGCCAACUAGAGAUGGGACAUCGUUCACUUAAGACUUGUUCCGCACCUUAUGAGAUAUCAAAGUCUUUGGGUUCCGGGGGGAGUAUGGUCGCAAGUCUGAAACUUAAAGGAAUUGACGGAAGGGCACCACCAGGAGUGGAGCCUGCGGCUUAAUUUGACUCAACACGGGGAAACUCACCAGGUCCAGACAUAAUAAGGAUUGACAGAUUGAUAGCUCUUUCUUGAUUUUAUGGGUGGUGGUGCAUGGCCGUUCUUAGUUCGUGGAGUGAUUUGUCUGCUUAAUUGCGUUAACGAACGAGACCUUAACCUGCUAAAUAGGAGCGCCUAUCUCCGGAUAAGCGCCUUUCUUCUUAGAGGGACUUUAUGCGUUUCAGCAUGAGGAAGUUUGAGGCUAAAAC